UCCACUCCCCAAGCUCCUACUUGGGAAUUCCAAUCCACUAUACUUGUAUUCAAUCCGAAUACAAACGUCGGAACCUCCGACACUAGCUAUCCCAAGCUAGUCCACUUGUUUUCCGGGUACAAGCCAACCCAAAACACUCCGAUUUCAGGUUCGGAUCAACCUUCCCUUGUUUUAGAAACCCUCCAAAAACAAGAACAAUUACUCACAAAGAGUAAGAU
rnacentral:lncRNA from 1 species